UACGGGGGGGGCAAGCGUUGUUCGGAAUUACUGGGCGUAAAGGGCGCGUAGGCGGCUCUUUAAGUCCCGUGUGAAAGCCCCCGGCUCAACCGGGGAACUGCACGGGAAACUGGAAGGCUUGAGUUCGGGAGAGGGAAGCGGAAUUCCGGGUGUAGCGGUGAAAUGCGUAGAUAUCCGGAGGAACACCGGUGGCGAAGGCGGCUUCCUGGACCGACAAUGACGCUGAGGCGCGAAAGCUAGGGGAGCAAACGGG
rnacentral:rRNA from 1 species